UGUAACAUCCUUAAUGAAAUAUUUGACCUGCUUGUUUUUUAUCUGUGAAGUUUCCCUGUGCAAUCCAAUGCAUUUUUUUUUUUUGCCUAGUACGCCGUCAAAACUACAUUUCUUAUAGCUGUUAGUAAUGCACUUCAUGUGAUUCCUUUCAGGGUACUUCUGUAACUCUGUUCCCAGAUUUAGCAAGCAAUCUUUAGGAAUCACAUUAUGUUUUUGGAGUUAUCAUUGCCUAAGACUUUUCAAUUAUUUUUAUUUUGUGGGUUCUUUAAUUACAACAAAACCACUUGCUUGUGAUCCUUCGAGCUUGCCCAAAUAUCCUCCGAGCAAAGAGUUCGAUGCAAAAAUACGGGAUGAGGAAGCUAGAAGAUGGACGGAAUGGAUUCGAUUAAAAAACUCUGAGUGGACCCCACAAGGCCCAAGAGGCACAUUGCUCUAUCUGCCACAGACUACCGAUGGGUUUUAACCCUUCCUUACGCCAAAAGCCCUACAGUGCCUCAUUUUGCAUCUCCAUUGCGUCUCCGUCUCCGUCUCCGUCUCCCUCUCUCAAUCUCCCUCUCUUUCGAUCUUCCGAUCUCAACCCUCUCUCUCGAUCUCCCUCUCUCUCCCUCCCUCUCUCAAUCUCCCUCUUGUUCUGUGUAACAGGUGUGGAGCCUCUAGCACAAGUGGUGAAUGCGCCAGCUGCUGCAGAUCAGGGCCAAGCUGCUACUCCAGCAGUGGUCAUUGCUCUAGGCCUUGUGGUAAUCUGCUUGCAGCCGCCAGGGCGAAGAAUCGUGGCUGUCGAGUUCUGUAAUGGCAUCAACGACCUCAACAAUGUCAUCUUUCUGGAGGUCCGUGGAAGCUCUGCCAAGGUAUUUUUGUAAUUCCACCAUCUUUCCUGCCUUUUUGUCGUUCUAAUCGGUGAUUCAGGAGUUACGAAGUCAAAUCCGCUCUCGAGGUUCACCAGGAAUGAGUUCAAGUCGACGAUUGGGGUCAAGUUUGCAACUCGGAGCUUGAACGUUGACAAGAAGGUCACCAAAGCUUAGAUUCGGGAUCUUUAGUUGGGUCCCAUUUGCCACCCAAUGAUGAGUAUUUGUAGCUAGAUCAUUAAAGCAUGAUCUAGCCCUAAGCUUCCUCCUCGACACAACACAGCGUAGGUCUAUAGCUAUCAUAUGGUUGAAGGGGUGAUUGGAGCUUGGCUGGCGGAUGUGUUAGUAGCUGUUAUGUGGCUGGUGGAUCUAUCUAGUUGUAGGGUGAUCUUCAAUCUUUUUGUAUUAGUAGCUUAGGAAUGCUGAAAGCAACCCACAAAAUGCUGAAUCCAGCAUUUUCUUGGUCAAAUUCCAACAACUUCAGGUUUAGGCAGCAAUUCAUGGCAGUGGUGGUAAUAGAACUUCUGUUUCUGAGGGCUUGGAACGUCUGCCAUUUAUAUUCACUUUUAAGGCAGCAGUGGGUGAGCCCUGUAUGAAGAUUCAGUUUAGAGUCUCAUCUUUUGCAAUUCUCUUACUUGAGAAGGGAACACAGGAAAUGGCGAAAGGGUGGGAAGCUGAUCUUCUCAUUUGAUGCAACAAAGAAAGCUCGCUUUGUACUCCCACGAUAUGCAAAAGAUGAACUUCAAAUCAGAUGGUUUGAGCUCCCAAAUUGCUUUUAUCUUCCAUAAUGGUACAAUUACAAGUUGGGGCAUAGGUUAUUCAAUGGUUCGUACAUUUGGAGUCAGACAUAUCACUUCGAAGCAUCUCCUUAUCCUGGACAAGAUUCUUUACAGCGUGUAGUAAUUUUUCGUGACAUGGGAAAGGUGGGAAGCGCCUUGUUCCUGUGGGUCUAGGAGAUGAUGAUCAAUGCAUUGAGGGAGCUUCACACGUCAUCUCUGCAAAGCUAUAAUUUAAAGUGCUAGCCUCUACUAUAGCUUAUUUUGUAAAUUUGAUUUUGCAAUGAAACAUCUUCAAGCACAUUAUUUUCUUAUGUUUUUCUUUGGAUUAAUCUCUAUUUUGAUGGAAUGCAAUAUACUUUUGUUAA